rfam:Ipomoea nil DNA, scaffold: scaffold0158, cultivar: Tokyo-kokei standard.
GGAUCCGUGGAGCAAUGGUCGCGUCUGACUUCAGAUUAGAAGGUUGCGUGUUCGAUUCACGUCGGGUUCA